rnacentral:rRNA from 1 species
UACGUAGGGUGCAAGCGUUGUCCGGAAUUAUUGGGCGUAAAGAGCUCGUAGGCGGUCUGUCGCGUCUGCUGUGAAAACUCAGGGCUUAACCCUGAGCUUGCAGUGGGUACGGGCAGACUAGAGUUCGGUAGGGGAGACUGGAAUUCCUGGUGUAGCGGUGAAAUGCGCAGAUAUCAGGAGGAACACCGGUGGCGAAGGCGGGUCUCUGGGCCGAUACUGACGCUGAGGAGCGAAAGCGUGGGGAGCGAACAGG